rnacentral:rRNA from 1 species
GAUGAACGCUGGCGGCGUGCCUAAUACAUGCAAGUCGAACGGGAAUCUUCGGAUUCCAGUGGCGAACGGGUGAGGAAUACAUAGGUAACCUGCCCCUCCGAGGGGGACAACAGACGGAAACAUCUGCUAAGACCGCAUAGCCACAGGGAAGGCAUCUUCCCUGUGCCAAAUGUCCUUUCGGGGACAGCGGGGGGAUGGACCUAUGCCGCAUUAGCUGGUUGGCGGGGCAACGGCCCACCAAGGCGACGAUGCGUAGCCGGCCUGAGAGGGCGGACGGCCACACUGGGACUGAGACACGGCCCAGACUCCUACGGGAGGCAGCAGUAGGGAAUUUUCGGCAAUGGGGGAAACCCUGACCGAGCAACGCCGCGUGAACGAUGAAGGCCUUCGGGUCGUAAAGUUCUGUUGCGAAGGAAGAACGCCGGUGUCAGGAAAUGGGCGCCGGGUGACGUACUCGCA